rnacentral:rRNA from 1 species
CAGUAGCCACGGGAAUACGAAGGGGGCUAGCGUUACUCGGAAUUACUGGGCGUAAAGGGCGCGUAGGCGGCACGAUUAGUCAGGCGUGAAAUUCCUGGGCUCAACCUGGGGACUGCGCUUGAUACGGUCGAGCUAGAGGAUGGAAGAGGGUUGUGGAAUUCCCAGUGUAGAGGUGAAAUUCGUAGAUAUUGGGAAGAACACCGGUGGCGAAGGCGGCAACCUGGUCCAUUACUGACGCUGAGGCGCGACAGCGUGGGGAGCAAACAGGAUUAGAUACCCCAGUAGUCCCUGUCUCUUAUAC